CCUACGGGUGGCAGCAGUGGGGAAUAUUGGGCAAUGGGCGCAAGCCUGACCCAGCAACGCCGCGUGAAGGAAGAAGGCUUUCGGGUUGUAAACUUCUUUUAUUAGGGACGAAAGAAAUGACGGUACCUCAUGAAUAAGCCACGGCUAACUACGUGCCAGCAGUCGCGGUAAUACGGAGGAUGCGAUCGUUAUCCGGAUUUAUUGGGUUUAAAGGGUUCGUGGGCGGAUUUUUAAGUCAGCGGUAAAAUGUCCGGGCCCAACCCGGGACGGCCGUUGAAACUGGGGGUCUUGAGUAGGCGAGAGGUAUGCGGAAUGCGUGGUGUAGCGGUGAAAUGCAUAGAUAUCACGCAGAACUCCGAUUGCGAAGGCAGCAUACCGGCGCACGACUGACGCUGAGGCACGAAAGCGUGGGGAUCGAACAGGAUUAGAUACCCGAGUAGUC
rnacentral:rRNA from 1 species